UUGGUGGUAGUAGCAAAUAUUCAAGUGAGAGCCUUGAAGACUGAAGUGGAGAAAGGUUCCAUGGUAACAGCAGUUGGACAUGGGUCAGUCGAUCCUAAGAGAUAGGGAAGCUCCGUUUCAAAGUGCGCGCUUGUUCGCGCCGCCUAUCGAAAGGGAAUCCGGUUAAAAUUCCGGAACCAGGAUGUGGAUCUUAAGCGGCAACGCAAAUGAACUUGGAGACGCAGGCGAGGGCCCCGGGAAGAGUUAUCUUUUCUCCUUAACAACUUAACCCCCUGAAAUCGGUUUGUCCGGAGCUAGGGGUCGAUGGUUGGUAGAGCAGUCCACCUUUGGACUGUCCGGUGCGUUCUCGACUGCCCUUGAAAAUCCAAGGGAAUGUUACUUUCACACCUGGUCGUACUCAUAACCGCAGCAGGUCUCCUAGGUGAACAGCCUCUAGUUGAUAGAACAAUG
rnacentral:rRNA from 1 species